AGUGAACGCUGGCGGUAGGCCUAACACAUGCAAGUCGAACGGCAGCACAGUAAGAGCUUGCUCUUACGGGUGGCGAGUGGCGGACGGGUGAGGAAUACAUCGGAAUCUACUUUUUCGUGGGGGAUAACGUAGGGAAACUUACGCUAAUACCGCAUACGACCUACGGGUGAAAGCAGGGGAUCUUCGGACCUUGCGCGAUUGAAUGAGCCGAUGUCGGAUUAGCUAGUUGGCGGGGUAAAGGCCCACCAAGGCGACGAUCCGUAGCUGGUCUGAGAGGAUGAUCAGCCACACUGGAACUGAGACACGGUCCAGACUCCGACGGGAGGCAGCAGUGGGGAAUAUUGGACAAUGGGCGCAAGCCUGACCCAGCCAUACCGCGUGGGUGAAGAAGGCCUUCGGGUUGUAAAGCCCUUUUGUUGGGAAAGAAAAGCAGCAGGUUAAUACCCCGCUGUUCUGACGGUACCCAAAGAAUAAGCACCGGCUAACUUCGUG
rnacentral:rRNA from 1 species